AGAUGUAUAAAUAAAAAAAUCACCCUAAGUUCCCUCAAAUCCCUAAUUUCUUCAAGUUGUACCUCUCUCUCUCUCUCUCUCUCUCUCUCUCUCUCUCUCUCUCUUUCGUCUUUCUCUUCUCAAAAUUCCUUCUCAAAACUUAUCACCAAAAAUACCACCCUUUUGCAACUGUCCCCAAAUAAUCAACCUUAAUUUCAUCUCUUCUGCAGUUACUAUUCUAAAUUUACAGCCGCCGCACUUGAAGAGUGAAGAAACGCAAAGUGGGAGUGAAGAGAGAGAAAAUGGUGAAGUAAAUCUCAAUCACGAACCGCGAAGAACAAGUCAAAAAUUGAAGAUUUGGAAGUUUGGGUUCACAUCUUCCAGAAAAGGAAUAAAGCAUUUGACACUUUUGUUUUUAAAAAGCUUGGAUCUUUACAAUGAGGUGUUUUCUAUUUCUUUAAUUUGUUUAAUUCAUUGAAAAAUAAUGAUGAUACGUUUAUUUGGGGAUAGUCACGUGAAUGAGAUCUUUGUUUUUCCUUUUUUCAUAAUUCAUGUUUGAAUGUUAGAUCUGGAAUCAAUACAGUGAAAUAGAAAUAGUAGAUUUUGAAAAUUUGAGUAAAUGUCGGGUAUUUCAAGGAUGGGGUUUUUCAUUUAUUAUUAUUGUUAUUAUUGUUGCUAUUAUUAUUAUUAUUUAGAUUGAUUGAAAUUUGGAUAUAUUUUUAAAGGGAAAGGAGAAAAUUGGAUAUUUAGAUAUUAUUAUACUGUAGUAAAAAUUGAUUAAUUGUUUAUAAAUUAUAACAAUCAAUAUGUUGAUUCUUUAGUGUAAGUAGUCAUAGUUUCAUAAAAAUGAAAUCUACGUUGAUUCAGUACAUGAUUUGUGACUCUCAAGAUGAUGAAAUCCUUGCUAAGAUUAGUUUUAUCAUGCCAUUGUUAUCACUUAAGUUGAAAAGAGAAACAAAAAUUAUGAGACUAGUUGAAUAACUAACUUCGCAAUACUAGAAAAAAUUAAAUUCAGGUUACUAAUGAUUAUCGGAUUUGGUAAGUCUAGUCUCUAAAAGGUAAAAGCAAGAAAUCGCAUUAUAACAAUAUCAAGUUUAUUAUUUGAUUAAUUAUGCUUAGCAUUUAAAUUUUUGUUAUAAAGAAAUGCUAUUAUGUUUUGACAUAUAUAGUGCACAUCUCUUUAUGAACUUAACCAAUGUUUGAAGAACUUUGUAUUACUGUAAGUUCUAAUCAUCCCUUCUUUUUUUUAAUAAUUCUAUUGUUAAUCAUAAUGCACUUUUAUGUAUAUUGUACAUGGUUGGAUAAGGUAUUUAUUUAAAAUGUUUUGAAAACUUUAAUAGUGUUGUGUCCAUUGAUAUUGGCUAUUUUGCAUAUGGUAGUUGGUUGGAUAAGAUGCUUGCACCUCAAGACAAUGUUAAUAAAGUCAAUAGCAACUUAACGAGCAAAGUAGAUAUAGAAGAAUAGUUUUGCCUAAAUUCAACAGAUAGUUCAAUGAGUUUGGCAAGAUAUGCAUAUAAAUUAUAAGUAAUUUUUAUUUAUUUGUAUCUUUCAUAUUGGUUAUGUGCACACAUAAUUGUUGCAUUAUUUUUAACUAUUUUAAUUUAGUAUUGCAGUAUUGUUGCUGGAUUAAGAAUGUUGAUAGCUGCCUCGGAGAUGGAGUUUUGAUGCUUGUGAAGAAUGUAAUUUUCUUUGUAAAGAAUUUUUUUUUUAAUGUACAAUGUAAUGGAUACCCAAUUUGGGAUGUGUCAAAAUGAUAGACUUUUUAUUGUGAUACAGGAAUUAUUAGUAAUUUGAAUUUUAAAUACUAUUUGUUGUACAAUAAAUUU
rnacentral:lncRNA from 1 species